rnacentral:rRNA from 1 species
UGGGGAAUAUUGCACAAUGGGCGCAAGCCUGAUGCAGCAACGCCGCGUGAGGGAUGACGGCCUUCGGGUUGUAAACCUCUUUUAGCAGGGAAGAAGCGAAAGUGACGGUACCUGCAGAAAAAGCACCGGCUAACUACGUGCCAGCAGCCGCGGUAAUACGUAGGGUGCAAGCGUUGUCCGGAAUUAUUGGGCGUAAAGAGCUCGUAGGCGGUCUGUCGCGUCUGCUGUGAAAUCCCGAGGCUCGACCUCGGGCCUGCAGUGGGUACGGGCAGACUAGAGUGCGGUAGGGGAGAAUGGAACUCCUGGUGUAGCGGUGGAAUGCGCAGAUAUCAGGAAGAACACCGAUGGCGAAGGCAGUUCUCUGGGCCGUAACUGACGCUGAGGAGCGAAAGCGUGGGGAGCGAACAGGAUUAGAUACCCUGGUAGUCCACGCCGUAAACGUUGGGCGCUAGAUGUGGGGACCAUUCCACGGUUUCCGUGUC